rnacentral:lncRNA from 1 species
AUGGGGUGCCUUGGUGACACUGGGAUAGAGGAGCAGCAGAAGAGCAGGGGGAGCAGCAGGAGGAGCAGCAGCGGGAGCAGAGGAGGAGCAGCGGAGGAGCAACAGGAGGAGCAGAGGAGGAGCAGCGGAGGAGCAGCAGAGGAGCAACAGGAGGAGCAGGAGGAGGAGCAGCAGGAGGAGCAGCAGGAGAAGCAGAAGAGGAGCAACAGGAGGAGCAGAGGAGGAGCAGCAGGAGGAGCAGCAGGAGGAACAGCAGAGGAGCAACAGGAGCAGCAGGAGGAGUGGAGGAGCAGCAGGAGGAGCAGCGGAGGAGCAGCAGCGGGAGCAGAGGAGCAGCGGAGGAGCAACAGGAGGAGCAGAGGAGGAGCAGAGGAGGAGCAGCGGAGGAGCAGCAGGAGGAGCAGAGGAGGAGCAACAGGAGGAGCAGAGGAGGAGCAGCGGAGGAGCAGCAGGAGGAGCAACAGGAGGAGCAGCAGAGGAGCAGCAAGAGGAGCAGCAGAAGAGCAGCAGGAGGAGCAGCGGAGGAGCAGCAGUGGGAGCAACGGAGGAGCAGCAGGAGGAGCAGUGGAGGAGCAGCAGGAGGAGCAGGAGGAGGAGUGGAGGAGCAGGAGGAGAGCAGAGGAGCAACAGGAGGAGCAGAGGAGGAGCAGCGGAGGAGCAGCAGGAAGAGCAGCAGAGGAACAACAGGAGGAGCAGCGGAGGAGCAGCAGGAGGAGCAGCAGGAGAAGCAGCAGGAGGAGUAGCAGAGGAGCAACAGGAGGAGCAGAAGAGGAGCAGCGGAGGAGCAGCAGAGGAGCAACAGAAGGAGCAGAGGAGAAGCAGCGGAGGAGCAGCAGAGGAGCAGCAAGAGGAGCAGCAGAAGAGCAGCAGGAGGAGCAGCGGAGGAGCAGCAGUGGGAGCAGUGGAGGAGCAGCAGGAGGAGCACCAGGAGGAGCAGUGGAGGAGCAGCAGGAGGAGCAGGAGGAGGAGUGGAGGAGCAGGAGGAGAGCAGAGGAGCAACAGGAGGAGCAGAGGAGGAGCAGCGGAGGAGCAGCAGGAGGAGCAGCGGAGGAGCAGCAGGAGGAGCAGCAGGAGGAGUAG